UCUGAAAUAAAAUUCAAAGGUUUGUGUUUUUGUUUUUGAGGUAUUUUGUACCUUUUGGUUGCAUCAUUUGUUUAUUGCUUAAUUAUAUUGGUACAACAAAGGCCAGGAACAAAUUAAAGGGAUUUAGAUAAAUGGGUUGUUCUCCUUGAAGCCCAAAUUCCAUGGUGGAUUUUACGUAUAAUUUAACAUAAUAGUUCUUAUUAAAUUAAAUGGUAGAAUUGUAGAUUUCUCCCUUACCACAUCAGCUAGAUAUAGGAUGCCAAUGCUCGGCCCCUCUUAAAUUAUUUUAUGUACAAGAUGAUAGAUGGGCAAUGGCUUACUGUGAUGAUAUCUGUUUUCAGUUAACCCAUCAUAUAUUCCUUGGUUAAUCUCAGUGCUUCGAACUCCAACUGAAUGGAAACACCACUGCGCCCCAUAUGUUCUCCGCCGUCUCCAUCUUCUCAACACCUGCUCUCUCUGCAGAAGAAAAGCCUCGGCGCAGUAGCCCACGUCAUACUCCUUUGACGACAGAGAUGCUCGAGCGUUGGACUGAGAGGGGGGCCAGUGGGUGUCGCCGCAGGCCCAGUCGCGUCCCCGCUGCUCCUAGCCAUUCACCUACAGCGCGAGUUUGUGGGAGCAUGCUGUCGCAAAAAGCGGUUCAUUGCGCUGUUCAAGCUAUGGUCGUUGAUUUUCCUGCUGCUGAAAUCAAAGUAUUUCCCUGGCAAAUGCCGUCCAUUCCAUGGCAAUUGCCUAAAGAAAAGUGAAUCUCGCCAUGGUGGUGACCUGCUUGAUUAGUACAAAAAGAUUUUGUAUCGGACAUGGAGGAGCAGCAUGGCCUCAAGUGAGCAACCAGUUUGCAAGAAGGACAUUAGUUUUUUAAACAGGGGUCAAGUAGAUUGGAAGACUUCAUUGUGGUUGCGAUGAUGAUGGAUGAGUUACUGGUGAAGGAGUGUAAAUAAAUAAAUCUCAGGCUGCGAAGGUGAUGGAUGAGUUACUUGUAAAGCAGCAUAAACAAUUCAUCCCUCUUUAUUUUUUCUUCAUCGCGUGAUUCCUUGUUAAUUAUUUACCUGAAACUUUCUGUGCCCAUGGUUGUAUGCAAUAGUUUUUGCUGGUAAACGUAUAUUUAAGAACCAUGAAGUUUGUCCAAACUCUCUUAUUGUGAAAAUAGAUAAUUUUCUUUGCUCCAUUCCUCACUGCUAGAUUUAGAUUCCAUAACUAGAGACAUGGAAUGCUGACUAAACUUUGAAUUAUGCUGCACUAAGAAUCGAAAAACAGUCAAAUAUAGCUUUUUAUGUAUUUUUUUUACCAUCGACAGUACAUUCUAAAUGGUGACAUUUCUUAAGCACUAAGGGCAUUUUCUGUGCUGAUGGAAGAGUUGCAUCCUUAGCAGAUGAAAACGUGUGAUGUUUCAAAUUUAUAAGGUACUUACCUUUUUCCAAUUUAAUGAAGUGACAGCACAAUAAUGGGGCGGCGGACCAAAAGGCACGUAAG